rnacentral:rRNA from 1 species
UCCGUAGGCGGGUAAUUAAGUCAGAGGUGAAAUCCCACAGCUUAACUGUGGAACUGCCUUAGAUACUGGUUAUCUUGAGUUUUAGUGAAGUAGAUAGAAUGUGUAGUGUAGCGGUGAAAUGCAUAGAUAUUACACAGAAUACCGAUUGCGAAGGCAGUCUACUAAUUAACAACUGACGCUAAUGGACGAAAGCGUGGGGAGCGAACAGGAUUAGAUACCCUGGUAGUCC